CGAGCGCACCCCUAUCCUUAUUUGCCAGCGCGUAUGGCGGGAACUCUAAGGAGACUGCCGGUGAUAAACCGGAGGAAGGUGGGGACGACGUCAAGUCAUCAUGGCCCUUACGGGAUGGGCUACACACGUGCUACAAUGGCAAGUACAGAGGGCAGCAAUACCGCGAGGUGGAGCGAAUCCCACAAAGCUUGUCGUAGUCCGGAUUGGAGUCUGCAACUCGACUCCAUGAAGUCGGAAUCGCUAGUAAUCGUAGAUCAGAAUGCUACGGUGAAUACGUUCCCGGGCCUUGCACACACCGCCCGU
rnacentral:rRNA from 1 species